rnacentral:rRNA from 1 species
CUCAGUUCGGAUUGGAGUCUGNAACCCGACUCCAUGAAGCUGGAUUCGCUAGUAAUCGCGCAUCAGCCACGGCGCGGUGAAUACGUUCCCGGGCCUUGUACACACCGCCCGUCAAGCCAUGGAAGCCGGGGGUGCCUGAAGUGCGCUGCCGCGAGGAGCGCCCUAGGGUAAAACCGGUGACUGGGGCUAAGUCGUAACAAGGUAAC